rnacentral:rRNA from 1 species
CUUUAGUUUGACACCCCGAAACCAGGUGAGCUACCCCGAGACAGCCUAUAUAAUUUAGGGCUAACCCGUCUCUGUGGCAAAAGAGUGGGAAGAGCUCCGGGUAGAAGUGACAGACCUACCGAACCUGGUGAUAGCUGGUUGCCUAAGAAGUGGAUAGAAGUUCAGCCCCGCACGCCCCAAACCAAAAAUUUCCUACCUUAAGGUAUUUAAGGGUAAUAUGCGGGAGUUAGUCAGAGGGGGUACAGCCCCUCUAACAAAGGAUACAACCUUCACAGGAGGAUAAAGAUCACAAUAUACAAAACCUACCGUUCUAGUGGGCCUAAAAGCAGCCAUCUAAGCAGAAAGCGUUAAAGCUCAGACAGAAAAAAGUUUAUUAUACCGAUAAAUAAUCUUACUCCCCUAACUAUAUUAGGCUAACCCAUGCCCACAUGGAAGAAAUUAUGCUAAAAUGAGUAACAAGAAGACCUGUUCUUCUCCUAACACGAGUGUAAGCCAGAUCGGACAAACCGCUGGAAAUUAACGAACCCAACCAAAGAGAGUGAUGUGGACAAUAGAAAAACCAAGAAAACCCCACAACUGAACAUCGUUAACCCCACACUGGAGUGUUAUUUAAAAGGAAAGACUAAAAGAAAGGGAAGGAACUCGGCAAACACAAGCCUCGCCUGUUUACCAAAAACAUCGCCUCCUGCAACUAAACCAAGUAUAGGAGGUCCAGCCUGCCCAGUGACUUCGGGUUCAACGGCCGCGGUAUUUUGACCGUGCAAAGGUAGCGCAAUCACUUGUCUUUUAAAUAGAGACCUGUAUGAAUGGCUAAACGAGGGCUUAGCUGUCUCCCCCUUCCAGUCAGUGAAAUUGAUCUAUCCGUGCAGAAGCGGGUAUAAAUAUACAAGACGAGAAGACCCUUUGGAGCUUAAGGUACAAAACUUAACCACGUAAAACGACUCAAUAAAAAGCAAGAACUUAGUGGAAAGUAAGAAUUUACCUUCGGUUGGGGCGACCACGGAGGAAAAACCAGCCUCCGCGUGGAACGGGCCAAACCCCUAGAGCCAAGAGAAACAUCUCCAAGCCACAGAACAUCUGACCAUAAAUGAUCCGGCUAUGCAGCCGAUCAACGAACCAAGUUACCCUAGGGAUAACAGCGCAAUCCUCUCCCAGAGUCCAUAUCGACGAGGGGGUUUACGACCUCGAUGUUGGAUCAGGACAUCCUAAUGGUGCAGCCG